rnacentral:rRNA from 1 species
UACGUAGGGACCAAGCGUUGUUCGGAUUUACUGGGCGUAAAGGGCUCGUAGGCGGCCAACUAAGUCGGACGUGAAAUCCCUCGGCUUAACCGGGGAACUGCGUCCGAUACUGGAUGGCUUGAGUUCGGGAGAGGGAUGCGGAAUUCCAGGUGUAGCGGUGAAAUGCGCAGAUAUCAGGAGGAACACCGGUGGCGAAGGCGGGUCUCUGGGCCGAUACUGACGCUGAGGAGCGAAAGCGUGGGGAGCGAACAGG